CCUACGGGAGGCAGCAGUGGGGAAUAUUGCACAAUGGGCGGAAGCCUGAUGCAGCGACGCCGCGUGAGGGAUGACGGCCUUCGGGUUGUAAACCUCUUUCAGCAGGGACGAAGCGUAAGUGACGGUACCUGCAGAAGAAGCACCGGCUAACUACGUGCCAGCAGCCGCGGUAAUACGUAGGGUGCGAGCGUUGUCCGGAAUUACUGGGCGUAAAGGGCUCGUAGGUGGUUUGUCGCGUCGUCUGUGAAAUUCUGGGGCUUAACUCCGGGCGUGCAGGCGAUACGGGCAUAACUUGAGUGCUGUAGGGGUAACUGGAAUUCCUGGUGUAGCGGUGAAAUGCGCAGAUAUCAGGAGGAACACCGAUGGCGAAGGCAGGUUACUGGGCAGUUACUGACGCUGAGGAGCGAAAGCAUGGGUAGCGAACAGGAUUAGAUACCCUGGUAGUCCAUGCCGUAAACGGUGGGCGCUAGGUGUGAGGGUCUUUCUACGACUUUCGUGCCGUAGCUAACGCAUUAAGCGCCCCGCCUGGGGAGUACGGCCGCAAGGCUAAAACUCAAAGGAAUUGACGGGGGCCCGCACAAGCGGCGGAGCAUGUGGAUUAAUUCGAUGCAACGCGAAGAACCUUACCUGGGCUUGACAUACACCAGAUUGGGCUAGAGAUAGUUCGUCCCUUUGUGGUUGGUGUACAGGUGGUGCAUGGUUGUCGUCAGCUCGUGUCGUGAGAUGUUGGGUUAAGUCCCGCAACGAGCGCAACCCUUGUCUUAUGUUGCCAGCAUUUGGUUGGGGACUCAUGAGAGACUGCCGGGGUUAACUCGGAGGAAGGUGGGGAUGACGUCAAAUCAUCAUGCCCCUUAUGUCCAGGGCUUCACACAUGCUACAAUGGUCGGUACAACGCGUUGCGACACUGUGAGGUGGAGCGAAUCGCUGAAAGCCGGCCUUAGUUCGGAUUGGGGUCUGCAACUCGACCCCAUGAAGUCGGAGUCGCUAGUAAUCGCAGAUCAGCAAUGCUGCGGUGAAUACGUUCCCGGGCCUUGUACACACCGCCCGUCACGUCAUGAAAGUUGGUAACACCCGAAGCCGGUGGCCUAAACGUGUUAGGGAGCCGUCGAAGGUGGGAUCGGCGAUUGGGACGAAGUCGUAACAAGGUACCCGUACCGGAAGGUGCGGGUG
rnacentral:rRNA from 1 species